rnacentral:rRNA from 1 species
AGAGGAAGUAAAAGUCGUAACAAGGUCUCCGUUGGUGAACCAGCGGAGGGAUCAUUACAGAGAUGCAAAACUCCCAACCAUUGUGAACCUACCUUACCGUUGCUUCGGCGGGUGGCCCCUACCAGGGCCGCGCUGGCCCCCCGUGGCCGGCAACCCGUCAGAAGACUUACACUCUCUGUCAUCACUGGCCUCUCUGAGUAACUUAUACAAUAAGUCAAAACUUUCAACAACGGAUCUCUUGGUUCUGGCAUCGAUGAAGAACGCAGCGAAAUGCGAUACGUAAUGUGAAUUGCAGAUUUCAGUGAAUCAUCGAAUCUUUGAACGCACCUUGCGCCCGCCAGUAUUCUGACGGGCAUGCCUGUUCGAGCGUCAUUUCAACCAUCAAGCCCCGGCUUGUGUUGGGGCCCUGCGGCUGCCGCAGACCCCUAAAUCCAGUGGCGGGCUCGUCGUCGUACCGAGUGCAGUAAAUUUCCUCGCUCGGGGACCCCGACGGGUGCUGGCCGUGAAACCACCCCUUCUCAAGGUUGACCUCGGAUC